AGUGAACGCUGGCGGUAGGCCUAACACAUGCAAGUCGAACGGCAGCACAGUAAGAGCUUGCUCUUACGGGUGGCGAGUGGCGGACGGGUGAGGAAUACAUCGGAACCUACUUUUUCGUGGGGGAUAACGUAGGGAAACUUACGCUAAUACCGCAUACGACCUACGUGUGAAAGCAGGGGAUCUUCGGACCUUGCGCGAUUGAAUGAGCGGAUGUCGGAUGAGCUAGUUGGCGGGGUAAAGGCCCACCAAGCCGACGAUCCGUAGCUGGUCUGAGAGGAUGAUCAGCGACACUGGAACUGAGACACGGUCCAGACUCCUACGGGAGGCAGCAGUGGGGAAUAUUGGGCAAUGGGCGCAAGCCUGAUCCAGCCAUACCGCGUGGGUGAAGAAGGCCUUCGGGUUGUAAAGCCCUUUUGUUGGGAAAGAAAAGCAGCAGGUUAAUACCCCGCUGUUCUGACGGUACCCAAAGAAUAAACACCGGCUAACUUCGU
rnacentral:rRNA from 1 species